rnacentral:tRNA from 1 species
UGGAACGUAGCUCAGUCGGAAGAGCAGCUGGCUUAUAUCCAGUAAGGCGAGGGUUCGAGUCCUUCCGUUCUGA